rnacentral:rRNA from 1 species
UCGAGCGGUAACAGACAUAAAGAUUCAGCUUGCUGAAUCCGGUGCUGACGAGCGGCGAACGGGUGAGUAACGCGUAGGAAUCUACCCAGUAGCGGGGGAUAGCCCGAGGAAACUCGGAUUAAUACCGCAUACGCCCUGAGGGGGAAAGGGGGCAGUUUACUGCUCUCACUAUUGGAUGAGCCUGCGUAAGAUUAGCUUGUUGGUGGGGUAAUGGCCUACCAAGGCAACGAUCUUUAGCUGGUCUGAGAGGACGAUCAGCCACAUUGGGACUGAGACACGGCCCAGACAUCUACGGAUGGCAGCAGUUAAGAAUAUUGGACAAUGGGGGCAACCCUGAUCCAGGUAUACCGCGUGUGUGAAGAAGGCCCUAGGGUUGUAAAGCACUUUAAUCAGAGAAGAAGCAUUUUAAGUUAAUACCUUAUUAUGUUGACGUUACCUGAAGAAUAAGGACCGG